rnacentral:lncRNA from 1 species
ACUCCAUGUGCUCGUUGAGGACCUAGACUGAUGAAACGAAGCCAUCCUAACAUUUGCUUCUGAGACUGCAAUGGUGAUUUCAAUCUCAGCUAGCCAAAAGAGCAAAGGGGCUUGAAGAAGCAUGUGUUGGAGAUUCCAGGGCUAAACCUGGAAGUCACAUGUCUCGAAAGUUAACAUCACUACAUCUUAACUCUAAGGAGACUGGGAAAUAUAAUUCAGGG